AUGAGUUCCAAUUGCUACGCUGAUCCCCAGGGAGUUGGGAUGAGAGAGAGGAAUGGCUGGAAGGAAUACAAAAACAAAUCUAAGAGACAGGGUUUCACUCUGUUGUCCACAAUGAGAGGAAGUGGUGUGAUCAUAGCUCAUUGCAGCUUUGAACUCCUGAGCUCAAGUGAUCCUUCUGCCUCAGCCUCCUGAAGAGCUGGGACUACAGGACAACUUUUUUCUUUCAUCACUUUAAAGAUAUUAAUUCACUGUCUCCUGAGAUUCUACCUUUGCAUUCCCCAAUAAAAUGUCAGAUGUCAUUCA
rnacentral:lncRNA from 13 species